rnacentral:rRNA from 1 species
GAUGAACGCUGGCGGCGUGCCUAAUACAUGCAAGUCGAGCGAACAGACGAGGAGCUUGCUCCUCUGACGUUAGCGGCGGACGGGUGAGUAACACGUGGAUAACCUACCUAUAAGACUGGGAUAACUUCGGGAAACCGGAGCUAAUACCGGAUAAUAUCUUGAACCGCAUGGUUCAAUAGUGAAAGACGGUUUUGCUGUCACUUCUAGAUGGAUCCGCGCCGCAUUAGCUAGUUGGUAAGGUAACGGCUUACCAAGGCGACGAUGCGUAGCCGAGCUGAGAGGGUGAUCGGCCACACUGGAACUGAGACACGGUCCAGACUCCUACGGGAGGCAGCAGUAGGGAAUCUUCCGCAAUGGGCGAAAGCCUGACGGAGCAACGCCGCGUGAGUGAUGAAGGUCUUCGGAUCGUAAAACUCUGUUAUUAGGGAAGAACAAAUGUGUAAGUAACUAUGCACGUCUUGACGGUACCUAAUCAGAAAGCCACGGCUAACUACGUG